GAACGAAUAUGAAUAGAAGAGAAAAAGAAGUUAAAUAGAGAUUUAAUAAUUUUUCAUGAAAUAUAUAAAAAUACCCGUAUAAAGAAACGUAACUUUAUUCAUAUUCGUUAAAAUUCCAUAUAUUUGCAUAUCUAGACCGAGCACAUUUUUACAGACACGAAUUAAAUACUUUCUUUAAUUCCAAAGUACAAUAUCUUUAUAACAAAUCUUAGUUCCUUAGAAUCGAUCUCCCAUACACGAAAAGAAAUCGUGCAUAAUUCAUUCCUUCAACUUUUCGAACAAAGAUAUGCCCGAUACACGCGCAAUCGUUCCGCGAUUCAACUUUAACGAUUUAAAACGCAUCAUAUUCGCAUUAAAUCAUCGACGAGGCUGAACCAGAUGGAGAGAGGGAGAGGAGGAAAAAACGUGGAAAUCUAAAUCGAGCGAUUUUAACGGGGGCGGAAAUUAAAGCGGAGAUUCGCGAAACGCGGCGAACGUAUUCAUCCUGGAUCGUCCGAUCCCGCCGCGAUUUUAUUUUAAUUCGAACUUUUAGCACAAUCGCGUUCGGCAAUGCAAUUUUAAUGGCUCUCUGCUUGAAACUUGGCUAACAGUUUUCCCAUUGUUAUCGCAUAGAAACUACAAAACCUCGCAUGGAGCAAGUUGGCGGGGGUUGAAUUUUUAAAUAAUAAUGCGCCCCCGAAUAGAAUUUUUUGAGGAACAUGCUGAGAGGGAAGGAGAAGGGAGAAAGGAGGGGGGAUCGAUCAAACAUUGAUAUAUAAUCAUAAUAUAUUAUAACAAAUUCCGUGUAUUUUCUCUCGAUACAUUCCAAGUGAUAACAAAUAUUAAAAUUCAAUUGGAGAAAUUAAGAAAAUUUUUUACUGAAACACAUUUUGUGAAAUACAUCAUAUUAUCCAAUAUGAAGAAUGCUCGAAUAUAAUAUAAUAUAAUUAUUAUUUUCUUCAAAUUGAACAUUCUCGUAAUAUAUUACUAUAUAUAAUCUAAAAUAAAAAUUCCACGGAUAAAUGUAUACAAACUUUCAUCCGAAGAAUUCAUUUCUGAAACGGAAAUGGCGAAGAACAACAAGCAAAUCGACGACAUAUACCAUUUCAUUCCCUAUCUAUCGAUUUAUCUAACGACGACGACUUACAAUCCCCGAUUUUAAUGCGAGCAACCCGGCUGCAUCUUUCGCGGGACAAUCGUGGAACGAUCGUGGCGCAUGAGAAAUGUUCCACGGAGCAAAGAAACGGCGGAAGUCUCCCCGCCGGUUAAUGCUCUUUGUCCUUCCAACAAAGGGGGCGUCCUUUGUGCCUGAACGCGUACCGCCACUUUUUGAACGAUGUUUUCCCGUGAAUUUUCGCCCCUUUCAUCCGUGAAAUAAUGCGGCAAAUAAUUCAUUGGGAACACGAGAACCAAGAAAGGGAAAAUACCUCGUGACGGAAGUUAACGGAAGCGGUGAAGUUGAAGGGAACUUGGGAGGAGGAGGAGGAGGAGGUGCAGGGUUUGUCGGUUGGAGCGUUACGGUUGCCAUGUUGGAGAGCGGUUAGGAAGGGAGGGAGGAGACCAAAUUCGAGAGCAAAUAUCCGAAAUUGAAGCAAUCGAAGCGUGUAAAAUGUUUCCGCCAAGAGUGGUAAAAGUGGUUGAUCUGAAAACGGAACGAGAUAUAUUUCCAUUGACAGUUCCUUCCGGGGAUUGUGGAGGGAGAGAAUCGAGAUCGAUCGAUGGACGGAUCGAUUCUCCAACAACUGGCGAAGCUAUUGAGAUUAAGGUUAUUAUUGGCUCAACUUUCUAUAAAUCUUUGAAUAUAGAGGGAACUGGAAUUUGUAUAAUUUUUUUUCAUAGGCAUUUGAAACUCUUAUCCAUCAAUUCGAUCUACCAGUCGAGCAUGGCCAUUGCUCAACCGAUUUUGACGUGUUACAAAGUCAAUCCUUUCGGUGAGUGAAAUUGAACUCAUAUCUAUUUACUUCGACAGUGUUCGAUACCAACUGGUUCAUCUUGUAUAAAGUAUAUGUAUACAUCAUCUGUCAAAUUGAAGAUCAAUGGAUACGUCAUUGAUCAAAAAAAAAAAAACUUGAGACA
rnacentral:lncRNA from 1 species